rnacentral:rRNA from 1 species
AGUUUGAUCCUGGCUCGAAUGAACGCUGGCGGCAGGCCUAACACAUGCAAGUCGAACGGAGUUAUAUUGUAGCUUGCUAUGGUAUAACUUAGUGGCAGACGGGUGAGUAAUGUAUAGGAAUCUACCUAGUAGUACGGAAUAAUUGUUGGAAACGGCAACUAAUACCGUAUACGCCCUACGGGGGAAAAAUUUAUUGCUAUUAGAUGAGCCUAUAUUAGAUUAGCUAGUUGGUGGAGUAAUAGCCUACCAAGGCAAUGAUCUAUAGCUGAUCUGAGAGGAUGAUCAGCCACACUGGAACUGAGAUACGGUCCAGACUCCUACGGGAGGCAGCAGUGGGGAAUAUUGGACAAUGGGCGAAAGCCUGAUCCAGCCAUGCCGCAUGAGUGAAGAAGGCCUUUGGGUUGUAAAGCUCUUUUAGUGAGGAAGAUAAUGACGGUACUCACAGAAGAAGUCCUGGCUAACUCCGUGCCAGCAGCCGCGGUAAUACGGAGAGGGCUAGCGUUAUUCGGAAUUAUUGGGCGUAAAGGGCGCGUAGGCGGAUUAGUAAGUUAAAAGUGAAAUCCCAAGGCUCAACCUUGGAAUUGCUUUUAAAACUGCUAAUCUAGAGAUUGAAAGAGGAUAGAGGAAUUCCUAGUGUAGAGGUGAAAUUCGUAAAUAUUAGGAGGAACACCAGUGGCGAAGGCGUCUAUCUGGUUCAAAUCUGACGCUGAGGCGCGAAGGCGUGGGGAGCAAACAGGAUUAGAUACCCUGGUAGUCCACGCUGUAAACGAUGAAUGUUAAAUAUGGGAAGUUUUACUUUCUGUAUUACAGCUAACGCGUUAAACAUUCCGCCUGGGGACUACGGUCGCAAGAUUAAAACUCAAAGGAAUUGACGGGGAACCGCACAAGCGGUGGAGCAUGUGGUUUAA